rnacentral:rRNA from 1 species
UACGAAGGGGGCUAGCGUUGUUCGGAAUUACUGGGCGUAAAGCGCACGUAGGCGGAUAUUUAAGUCAGGGGUGAAAUCCCAGAGCUCAACUCUGGAACUGCCUUUGAUACUGGGGUAUCUUGAGUAUGGAAGAGGUAAGUGGAAUUGCGAGUGUAGAGGUGAAAUUCGUAGAUAUUCGCAGGAACACCAGUGGCGAAGGCGGCUUACUGGUCCAUAACUGACGCUGAGGUGGCGAAAAGCGUGGGGAGCCAAACAGG